AUUGAACGCUGGCGGCAGGCCUAACACAUGCAAGUCGAACGAGUGGCGGACGGGUGAGUACUGUCUGGGAAACUGCCUGAUGGAGGGGGAUAACGAGUGGAAACGGUAGCUAAUACCGCAUAACAUCAGUUCUGCCCAGAUGGGAUUAGCUUGUUGGUGGGGUAACGGCUCACCAAGGCGACGAUCCCUACCUGGUCUGCGAGGGUGACCAGCCACACUGGAACUGAGACACGGUCCAGACUCCUACGGGAGGCAGCAGUGGGGAAUAUUGCACAAUGGGCGCAAGCCUGAUGCAGCCAUGCCGCGUGAAUGAAGAAGGCUUUCGGGUUGUAAAGUACUUUCAUCGGGGAGGCGUUACCCGCAGAAGAAGCACCGGCUAACUCCGUGCCAGCAGCCGCGGUAAUAC
rnacentral:rRNA from 1 species